UGGGGAAUUUUGGACAAUGGGCGAAAGCCUGAUCCAGCAAUGCCGCGUGUGUGAAGAAGGCCUUCGGGUUGUAAAGCACUUUUGUCCGGAAAGAAAUCCUUGGCUCUAAUACAGUCGGGGGAUGACGGUACCGGAAGAAUAAGCACCGGCUAACUACGUGCCAGCAGCCGCGGUAAUACGUAGGGUGCAAGCGUUAAUCGGAAUUACUGGGCGUAAAGCGUGCGCAGGCGGUUUGCUAAGGCCGAUGUGAAAUCCCCGGGCUCAACCUGGGAACUGCAUUGGUGACUGGCAGGCUAGAGUAUGGCAGAGGGGGGUAGAAUUCCACGUGUAGCAGUGAAAUGCGUAGAGAUGUGGAGGAAUACCGAUGGCGAAGGCAGCCCCCUGGGCCAAUACUGACGCUCAUGCACGAAAAGCGUGGGGAGCAAAACAGGAUUAGAUACCCUGGUAGUCCACGCCCUAAAACGAUGUCAACUAGUUGUUGGGGAUUCAUUUCCUUAGUAACGUAGCUAACGCGUGAAGUUGACCGCCUGGGGAGUACGGUCGCAAGAUUAAAAACUCAAAUGAAUUGACGGGGUCAUAGCUGUUUCCU
rnacentral:rRNA from 1 species